AGCGAACGCUGGCGGCAGGCUUAACACAUGCAAGUCGAGCGGGCGUAGCAAUACGUCAGCGGCAGACGGGUGAGUAACGCGUGGGAACAUACCCUUUUGGUUCGGAACAACACAGGGAAACUUGUGCUAAUACCGGAUAAGCCCUUACGGGGAAAGAUUUAUCGCCGAAAGAUUGGCCCGCGUCUGAUUAGCUAGUUGGUGAGGUAACGGCUCACCAAGGCGACGAUCAGUAGCUGGCUGAGAGGAUGAUCAGCCACAUUGGGACUGAGACACGGCCCAAACUCCUACGGGAGGCAGCAGUGGGGAAUAUUGGACAAUGGGCGAAAGCCUGAUCCAGCCAUGCCGCGUGAGUGAUGAAGGCCCUAGGGUUGUAAGCUCUUUUGUGCGGGAAGAUAAUGACGGUA
rnacentral:rRNA from 1 species